rnacentral:rRNA from 1 species
UAGGGAAUCUUCGGCAAUGGACGGAAGUCUGACCGAGCAACGCCGCGUGAGUGAAGAAGGUUUUCGGAUCGUAAAGCUCUGUUGUUAGAGAAGAACGUUGGAAGGAGUUGAAAAUCUACCAAGUGACGGUAACUAACCAGAAAGGGACGGCUAACUACGUGCCAGCAGCCGCGGUAAUACGUAGGUCCCGAGCGUUGUCCGGAUUUAUUGGGCGUAAAGCGAGCGCAGGCGGUUCGUUAAGUCUGAAGUUAAAGGCAGUGGCUUAACCAUUGUAAGCUGUGGAAACUGGAGGACUUGAGUGCAGAAGGGGAGAGUGGAAUUCCAUGUGUAGCGGUGAAAUGCGUAGAUAUAUGGAGGAACACCGGUGGCGAAAGCGGCUCUCUGGUCUGUAACUGACGCUGAGGCUCGAAAGCGUGGGGAGCAAACAGG